rnacentral:rRNA from 1 species
AUACGUAGGGGACGAGCGUUGUCCGGAAUUACUGGGCGUAAAGGGCGCGCAGGCGGAUAUUUAAGUCAGCUGUAAAAGGCAUGAGCUCAACUCAUGUAUGCGGUUGAAACUGGGUAUCUAGAGUGCUGGAGAGGUAGGCGGAAUUCCCGGUGUAGCGGUGAAAUGCGUAGAUAUCGGGAAGAACACCAGUGGCGAAGGCGGGUUACUGGGCAGCGACUGACGCUGAGGCGCGAAAGCCGGGGGAGCGAACGGGGUUAGAUGCCCCGGUAGUCGUGGCCGUAAAGGAUGAAUGCUAGGUGUGGGUGUCGAGAGGCAUCCGUGCCGGAGUUAACGUGAUAAGCAUUCCGCCUGGGGAGUUCGAUCGCAAGAUGGAAACUCAAAUGAAUUGACGGGG